rnacentral:tRNA from 1 species
GAAGGAUUUAAGUUAGUUAAACUAGUAACCUUCAAAGUUGCCAUCAUAGGCUCCCCCCCCCCCUUUAAGCCUU